rfam:Schistosoma haematobium scaffold558_26, whole genome shotgun sequence.
AUCCAGUUGACGAAUCCCAAAUAGGACGAAACGUGCGUCCUGGAU